rnacentral:rRNA from 1 species
CCUACGGGAGGCAGCAGUGGGGAAUUUUGGACAAUGGGGGCAACCCUGAUCCAGCCAUGCCGCGUGAGUGAAGAAGGCCUUCGGGUUGUAAAGCUCUUUCGGCCGGAACGAAAUCGCGCACGUGAAUAACGUGCGUGGAUGACGGUACCGGAGUAAGAAGCACCGGCUAACUACGUGCCAGCAGCCGCGGUAAUACGUAGGGUGCGAGCGUUAAUCGGAAUUACUGGGCGUAAAGCGUGCGCAGGCGGUUCGCUAAGUCAGACGUGAAAGCCCCGGGCUUAACCUGGGAACGGCGUUUGAAACUGGCGGGCUCGAGUACGGCAGAGGGGGGUGGAAUUCCACGUGUAGCAGUGAAAUGCGUAGAUAUGUGGAGGAACACCGAUGGCGAAGGCAGCCCCCUGGGCCGAUACUGACGCUCAUGCACGAAAGCGUGGGGAGCAAACAGGAUUAGAUACCCUGGUAGUCCACGCCCUAAACUAUGUCAACUAGUUGUCGGGGAAGCAAUUCCUGGUAACGCAGCUAACGCGUGAAGUUGACCGCCUGGGGGAGGUACGGUCGCGAGAGUUAAACGUUAAAGGUAAAGUUAGUACGGCGUUGUAGACGUUGCCGACGGACGACGACGAGGGAGGAGG